rnacentral:SRP_RNA from 1 species
CCUGUUACGCCCAAUAGGGCGGGUGUGUUUGGGGAAGCGGUUCGAGUCCCAGGGCGUGCCGUGGGAAAGGCGUCGAGACUGCGCGCACUCUGAGGCAGUUCCCGACAGGGGCACUUCAUGUAGGUGGGGUGUCCUGGUCGAUAAUGAGCAGCGGAACGCGUGAGGCUGGAAACAGAGCAACGAAAAGCAGGC